UACGAGAGCCUCGAGCGUUAUCCGGAAUUAUUGGGCGUAAAGGGUGCGUAGGUUGUUUUGUUAGUCUUUUGUUAAAGCCCCGAGCUUAACUUGGGAUAAGCAAAAGAAACGGCAGAACUAGAAAGUGCGAGAGGUAUGCGGAACUUAUGGUGUAGGGGUAAAAUCCGUUGAUAUCAUAGGGAACACCAAAUGCGAAGGCAGCAUACUGGCGCAUGUUUGACGCUGAAGCACGAAAGCGUGGGUAGCGAAUGGG
rnacentral:rRNA from 1 species